AUGGCGAUGAGUGACACUGGCUCGAGCUUCGCCAACUGGACCGACGACCUGUACCGCUACGACGCUCCGUGCCUGGGCGGCGCUGCGGCGGACUCGACGAUCGUCGCCUCCGCGACGCCGACGAGCCCGGCGUCGGCGGGGUCCGGCGACGGGAGCCCGUCCCGGGCGGCGGGCGGGGCCCUGGGCCCGCGGGUGGCGGGCAAGCCGGCGGCGAGGAAGCGGGCCCGCGCGUCGCGCCGCGCGCCAGUGACGCUGCUCAACACGGACGCCAGCAACUUCCGCGCCAUGGUGCAGCAGUUCACCGGCAUCCCCUCGGCCCCCGCCGGCCCGUUCUCCGGCGCUCCCGUCAUCAACUUCGGCGGGGCCUCCGGCUACGGCUUCGCGCCGCAGCAGCAGCCGGCGGCCGCCGUGUCCUUCGACCACCACCUCCACCAGCAGCGGCAGCAGUACACCGGCGCGGCAUUCGGCUACGGGAACCACCUGCAGCACUCCCUCUCCGGCGGCGACGCGUUCGCCCACGGGCUCGGCGCGGCGGAGGACCGGAUGCUCCUGCAGAGCAUGCAGGCGGCGCAGAUGCCCGGGGCGCGCGCCGCUCACAACAGCGCCAAUGGCUACUUCGCCUGA
rnacentral:rRNA from 1 species